UAACAAUCCUUCGGGUGCGUUAAUGGGCGUCGAGCGGCGGACGGGUGAGUAAUGCCUAGGAAAUUGCCUUGAUGUGGGGGAUAACCAUUGGAAACGAUGGCUAAUACCGCAUGAUGCCUACGGGCCAAAGAGGGGGACCUUCGGGCCUCUCGCGUCAAGAUAUGCCUAGGUGGGAUUAGCUAGUUGGUGAGGUAAUGGCUCACCAAGGCGACGAUCCCUAGCUGGUCUGAGAGGAUGAUCAGCCACACUGGAACUGAGACACGGUCCAGACUCCUACGGGAGGCAGCAGUGGGGAAUAUUGCACAAUGGGCGAAAGCCUGAUGCAGCCAUGCCGCGUGUAUGAAGAAGGCCUUCGGGUUGUAAAGUACUUUCAGUUGUGAGGAAGGGUGUGUAGUUAAUAGCUGCGCAUCUUGACGUUAGCAACAGAAGAAGCACCGGCUAACUCCGUGCCAGCAGCCGCGGUAAUACGGAGGG
rnacentral:rRNA from 1 species